GUGGCUCAGUGGUAGAGUGCUUGCCUAGCAUGCAUGAGGGCCUGGGUUCGAUUCCUCAGC
rnacentral:tRNA from 1 species